GAGAGCUUCAGCUAUGGGGCGGUAUUUAAACGUAAUAAAUAAAUAUUGCCACACUAUAAUAGAAGAGGUGGCACCUGCUUGUUUUCCAUUUCCUGUGCUCCUCCUGAACUGAAUCUGGGAACUUGCAACCCUCCUCUCCAACAUUGUAGGCAAUUCCUGUCUACCAAGCCUUUGGCAGUUGGGAUUCAUUCCUGAUUUGGAGAUUUAAUGGUGUGACUUAGACUGCAGGUGUGUGAAAAGCACUUGCCCAUGCAGGGUUUAAUGUGGCUCUGCCGCAUUGAAAAAGGUUCGCCAGCAGUGCAACAGAUUUUACAAGGGCAGCAUUGUCAUCGCAGUUUCUCUCAGGGCCACAUCACUGGUGUGUAAAGCUUGCACACCUAGGUGCAUGCAUUUUAACAUGCUGGGCCCCAAAAGAAACUUGCACAAAUGCUUUUGUGUUUUCAUGUAUAAUGUUAAAAUGCCAGAUGAUGUUAAUAACACAACACAGAUGUUUCCUGUUUUGGAAACUUAGCAAAAUAACUUACGUUACUUAAGAUUUAACUAACAUAAAUUAUUUUGUAAGUUUCCAAAACAGGCUGAUAGGAGAAGCAGACAGCCGUGUGAAUCUCCAAAGAGCAUGAUUUUCUUCACUCAAAGUCCUCUUUGCUGUCAAAUUUGCAAGUGAGAUACAGAUUUGUGUUUUUUGUUUUUUGAAAAGGGUUAUUCUAGCAGGCUAUGUAGCUAAACAUUUUCCUAGUGUUGUCUUUUCUAUGCUGCCAUUCAAAAAUGCCAAAUUAUGAUUCACACGAGCAUUGUCUGAUUUCUGUGGCCUCUGUGCUUCUUGUUGCCAUGUGACCUGUGUUCCUUUUGUGCCAUAAUUUGGUAGAUGUAAAAGCUGCCAUUUUUGUGCCUUUCAACCAGCCCACCACUGCCCAAGCUUGCUGUUCUGUCAUUUGCAGAAUUGGGAGUACUGGUUAUUUGCAGCUUGUUCUUGACUUGAAUGAUGAGUGAUAGAGAAAUUUAUUGAGACUUAAGGUUGCAACCAACCCUAGGAAUACCAUACUGGCAAUCCUAGGGCCUAGAUCCAAUGGAGAUUAAAAGCCACAUGAUAAAUGGGUGUAUACUAAGAGCCCCUUCAAAUAUUACAGUUUUAAUGGGUACUUGUUAGAGGACUACACAAUGUAUCUGCUAAAGCUGUAUCAUUUGAGGUACUUCUGUAGGAUGAGGGAAUAGGUUAGAGUAGCGGCCUUCGUGGCUCAUAUUUUCUCAAACAUGAACUAACAGAAAAGAGCCAAAUUUAGAAGUAUUUUUUAGAAGAGGCCUCUUUAGGGUUAUUUGGUACAAACAAUGAACAUCACUCCAUUGAUAUAAUGGGAGUUAACAACUCCCCAAUACCAGGUGUGAAAUCACCAAACUGGGAUGCUUGGCAGCUUUCAUUAGGAACUUAGGAAGCUGCCUUAUACUGACUCAGACCAUUGGUCUAUCUAGUCCGGUAUUGUUGACACAGACUGGCAGCAGUUCUCAAGGGUUUCAGGCAAAAUCAUAUAUAGGUUUGUAAUGUGGAAGUAGUUCUUUCUCUGACUAGUUCAAGUGUGAACUGGUAUGUGAGAAAUGGCAAUAAGAGAACUGGAGGGGGAGUGAGAGGAGAUCGGAUCUUCUGCUCAUUACAGAAAUGUUAUUGAGGUCUUUCAGGGUUUCAGAUCCAGUUCCAAGGAGACAUUUGAAACAGUAAGCAGGAAUACAUUCAAAACAAUUGGUUGAAUCCAGAUUUAUUCAUACUCUGAUACAUCAAAAUCAAUAGGACUUAGUCAUAGCUAAGUCCCAUUGAUUUCAAUAGGUCUAUUCUAAAUGUGGCUUAAGUCUGGGUGCAAUUCAUUAUUGGCUUCAUAGUGAUACCUCAGCUUAAGUUGUGUCACCAAAUUUGACUGAUGUCACUUGCACUGGCCUUAAUAUAAUACGUUUCUGUUGGCCACUAAAUAUUCAUCUUCAUUUCUUUAGAAUUGGGCUCCAUCCUUUUAAAAGCCGGACCAAAAUCUGUAGUCAUUUUUAGUCAUUUUCAGCUAGUUUGUUCGCUGCUUUUGGGUCUUGUUAUUAUCUGAACAAUUCCGCUGGCUUUUCAGCCUGUAUCAUAUGCAAACUCACUGAUGUAAUUUCUAGAAAACUGGAUUGGGGUUGCUUGUUCAGAUCGUAUAGUUUGCUGUGUUUAAGCAGAGAAGUUGAACCCAGCAGAUCACUGCCUCAUUCUAUGGCAAAAACAAAAAUAAUAAUUGAAAAUAUAGAUGUAAACCAAGCAAAGCCUCAAUAGAUAUCAGUGCCGAGUAUUUACUGCCUCUGUCUUCUAUGUCCGUCGCUGUCAUAUGGCCAUCCAUUGUCUAUGGGCAAGCAUUUUUUAAUCCAAUUGUAAAUAAAAAGAUACAAAAAUGUG